rnacentral:rRNA from 1 species
GGGGACCCGCAAGCGGUGGAUGAUGUGGUUUAAUUCGAUGCAACGCGAAAAACCUUACCCACCUUUGACAUGGCAGGAAGGUCUCAAAGAUGGGAUUGUGCCCGAAAGGGAACCUGCACACAGGUGCUGCAUGGCUGUCGUCAGCUCGUGUCGUGAGAUGUUGGGUUAAGUCCCGCAACGAGCGCAACCCUUGCCAUUAGUUGCUACAAAAGGGCACUCUAAUGGGACUGCCGGUGACAAACCGGAGGAAGGUGGGGAUGACGUCAAGUCCUCAUGGCCCUUAUAGGUGGGGCUACACACGUCAUACAAUGGCUGGUACAGAGGGUUGCCAACCCGCGAGGGGGAGCCAAUCCCACAAAGCCAGUCGUAGUCCGGAUCGCAGUCUGCAACUCGACUGCGUGAAGUCGGAAUCGCUAGUAAUCGCGGAUCAGAAUGUCGCGGUGAAUACGUUCCCGGGUCUUGUACACACC